rnacentral:rRNA from 1 species
GGGUUGUGAGGUUAAGCGACUAAGCGUACACGGUGGAUGCCCUGGCAGUCAGAGGCGAUGAAGGACGUGCUAAUCUGCGAAAAGCGCCGGCGAGGUGAUAUGAACCUUUGACCCGGCGAUGUCCGAAUGGGGAAACCCAGUGUGAUUCGUCACACUAUCGUUAACUGAAUACAUAGGUUAACGAGGCGAACCGGGGGAACUGAAACAUCUAAGUACCCCGAGGAAAAGAAAUCAACCGAGAUUCCCCCAGUAGCGGCGAGCGAACGGGGAGCAGCCCAGAGUCUGAAUCAGCUUGUGUGUUAGUGGAAGCGUCUGGAAAGUCGCACGGUACAGGGUGACAGUCCCGUACACGAAAGCACACAGGUUGUGAACUCGAAGAGUAGGGCGGGACACGUGGUAUCCUGUCUGAAUAUGGGGGGACCAUCCUCCAAGGCUAAAUACUCCUGACUGACCGAUAGUGAACCAGUACCGUGAGGGAAAGGCGAAAAGAACCCCGGCGAGGGGAGUGAAAAAGAACCUGAAACCGUGUACGUACAAGCAGUGGGAGCACCUUCGUGGUGUGACUGCGUACCUUUUGUAUAAUGGGUCAGCGACUUAUAUUCUGUAGCAAGGUUAACCGUAUAGGGGAGCCGAAGGGAAACCGAGUCUUAACUGGGCGUUAAGUUGCAGGGUAUAGACCCGAAACCCGGUGAUCUAGCCAUGGGCAGGUUGAAGGUUGGGUAACACUAACUGGAGGACCGAACCGACUAAUGUUGAAAAAUUAGCGGAUGACUUGUGGCUGGGGGUGAAAGGCCAAUCAAACCGGGAGAUAGCUGGUUCUCCCCGAAAGCUAUUUAGGUAGCGCCUCGUGAACUCAUCUUCGGGGGUAGAGCACUGUUUCGGCUAGGGGGCCAUCCCGGCUUACCAACCCGAUGCAAACUACGAAUACCGAAGAAUGUUAUCACGGGAGACACACGGCGGGUGCUAACGUCCGUCGUGAAGAGGGAAACAACCCAGACCGCCAGCUAAGGUCCCAAAGUCAUGGUUAAGUGGGAAACGAUGUGGGAAGGCACAGACAGCCAGGAUGUUGGCUUAGAAGCAGCCAUCAUUUAAAGAAAGCGUAAUAGCUCACUGGUCGAGUCGGCCUGCGCGGAAGAUGUAACGGGGCUAAACCAUGCACCGAAGCUGCGGCAGCGACACUUAUGUGUUGUUGGGUAGGGGAGCGUUCUGUAAGCCGUUGAAGGUGUGCUGUGAGGCAUGCUGGAGGUAUCAGAAGUGCGAAUGCUGACAUAAGUAACGAUAAAGCGGGUGAAAAGCCCGCUCGCCGGAAGACCAAGGGUUCCUGUCCAACGUUAAUCGGGGCAGGGUGAGUCGACCCCUAAGGCGAGGCCGAAAGGCGUAGUCGAUGGGAAACAGGUUAAUAUUCCUGUACUUGGUGUUACUGCGAAGGGGGGACGGAGAAGGCUAUGUUAGCCGGGCGACGGUUGUCCCGGUUUAAGCAUGUAGGCGGAGGUUCCAGGUAAAUCCGGUACCUUUUAACGCUGAGGUGUGAUGACGAGGCACUACGGUGCUGAAGUAACAAAUGCCCUGCUUCCAGGAAAAGCCUCUAAGCAUCAGGUAACAUCAAAUCGUACCCCAAACCGACACAGGUGGUCAGGUAGAGAAUACCAAGGCGCUUGAGAGAACUCGGGUGAAGGAACUAGGCAAAAUGGUGCCGUAACUUCGGGAGAAGGCACGCUGAUAUGUAGGUGAAGCCCCUGCGGGUGGAGCUGAAAUCAGUCGAAGAUACCAGCUGGCUGCAACUGUUUAUUAAAAACACAGCACUGUGCAAACACGAAAGUGGACGUAUACGGUGUGACGCCUGCCCGGUGCCGGAAGGUUAAUUGAUGGGGUUAGCGGCAACGCGAAGCUCUUGAUCGAAGCCCCGGUAAACGGCGGCCGUAACUAUAACGGUCCUAAGGUAGCGAAAUUCCUUGUCGGGUAAGUUCCGACCUGCACGAAUGGCGUAAUGAUGGCCAGGCUGUCUCCACCCGAGACUCAGUGAAAUUGAACUCGCUGUGAAGAUGCAGUGUACCCGCGGCAAGACGGAAAGACCCCGUGAACCUUUACUAUAGCUUGACACUGAACACUGGUCCUUGAUGUGUAGGAUAGGUGGGAGGCUUUGAAGUGUGGACGCCAGUCUGCAUGGAGCCGUCCUUGAAAUACCACCCUUUAAUGGCUGGUGUUCUAACGUAGACCCGUGAUCCGGGUUGCGGACAGUGUCUGGUGGGUAGUUUGACUGGGGCGGUCUCCUCCCAAAGAGUAACGGAGGAGCACGAAGGUUAGCUAAUCCUGGUCGGACAUCAGGAGGUUAGUGCAAUGGCAUAAGCUAGCUUGACUGCGAGAGUGACGGCUCGAGCAGGUGCGAAAGCAGGUCAUAGUGAUCCGGUGGUUCUGAAUGGAAGGGCCAUCGCUCAACGGAUAAAAGGUACUCCGGGGAUAACAGGCUGAUACCGCCCAAGAGUUCAUAUCGACGGCGGUGUUUGGCACCUCGAUGUCGGCUCAUCACAUCCUGGGGCUGAAGUAGGUCCCAAGGGUAUGGCUGUUCGCCAUUUAAAGUGGUACGCGAGCUGGGUUUAGAACGUCGUGAGACAGUUCGGUCCCUAUCUGCCGUGGGCGCUGGAGAAUUGAGGGGGGCUGCUCCUAGUACGAGAGGACCGGAGUGGACGCAUCACUGGUGUUCGGGUUGUCAUGCCAAUGGCACUGCCCGGUAGCUAAAUGCGGAAAAGAUAAGUGCUGAAAGCAUCUAAGCACGAAACUUGCCCCGAGAUGAGUUCUCCCUGAGACUUUAAGUCUCCUGAAGGAACGUUAAAGACGAUGACGUUGAUAGGUCGGGUGUGUAAGCGCAGCGAUGCGUUGAGCUAACCGAUACUAAUGAACCGUGAGGCUUAACCUUACAACGCCGAAG